GAUGAAGAACGUAGCGAAAUGCGAUACGUAAUGUGAAUUGCAGAAUUCAGUGAAUCAUCGAAUCUUUGAACGCAUAUUGCGCUCUCUGGUAUUCCGGAGAGCAUGCUUGUUUGAGUAUCAGUAAACACCUCAACUUCCAUAUCUUUUUUGAAAUGGGAGUUGGACUUGAGUGAUCCCAACGCUUUUCCUCACCGAAAAGUGGCGGGUUACUUGAAAUGCAGGUGCAGCUGGACUUUUCUCUGAGCUAUAAGCAUAUCUAUUUAGUCUGCCUAAAAAACAGAUUAUUACCUUUGCUGCAGCUAACAUAAAGGAGAUUAGUUCUUGUGCUGACUGAUGCAGGAUUCACAAAGACGGCUUCGGCCGACUUUGUAAACUCGAUCUCAAAUCAAGUAAGACUACCCGCUGAACUUAAGCUUAUCAAUAAGCGGAGGA
rnacentral:misc_RNA from 1 species